GGAACAGGAAGGAUCUUCUUCAAUUUUAGUUUUAUUGUGUCUUCUCCUCCUAAAGGAUAACCAUGAACAACUAUGAAAUCCUUGAAGCUUUCUCUUGCCUCACCACCAUUAAUAACCCCAUUCUCCACCAUUAAACCCAACAACUUAACACCAUAUUACUUCCCAAAAUGCAGUCAAAACCAUCCCUUUUAUCCAGUUAAACAGGCUGAAAAGUAGCUUCAAUACAGUCUUUAAAUUCACUCCAAACCACUACAGAAACAACCACGAACUACAAUAAAAAAUGCAGCAUCCUCCGUUCCCGAAAAUUGAGUUGCACUGCACAUAUGAUCAAUCACAAUACUUCUGUUUGACAGGGGAUAUGCUGGGUCAGUGGGCAAUUUUUGAACCACCAAAUCAGUGCUUAGACCCGGUAUGUCAUCAUAUGACCAUGCAAAAAUAUCUUUGUACUCAAACAAUGCUUUGAUUAUCUCUUCCCUGAG
rnacentral:lncRNA from 1 species